ACAUCAUCCUCUAGGAAGUGACAUCAUAUUGGAGGGUAAACCACAAUGGCAUUUCUUGGUUUGUCUGUGAACAAUAUAUCUGUCUGAUAAAGCCAUGUAAAUCGCGCCAUACGCAGAUUGAGGCAGUACAACAAACUACCACUAGAGGGCAGAACAUGAUGCAUGUUGUGUCAAAACGAACAAAAGUUUGGCCUCUGGCUCCUGCAGGGCCCCCAAGCGAGCACUUUUUGGGGUUCACAGUGUGGUGACCUCUGAGGAGAUGCAGUAACGUCCUGAACUCUUCAGCAUCAAAGAGAUCUGCGGGGGGGCGGAGCUGAUACAGAACGCAUCACAAUGCCGGUCCACCUACACUCUCCCGCUCCUGUUCCUCACUUUCCUCAAGUAUGCGAAUAUGAAUGACUUCAGUCCUCUCCCUGUGACCUCUCUAUCACAUCACCUCUGGUUUGCAGCAGUGAUUCUUUGCAUUUCUUUAGGAUAAAAGCAGCACGAUAUCAGGCAGCGGUCAAAGAGCAGGUCUACUUUCCCUCGUUCCCCCCCUCUCUUGUUUUCUGCCUCUGGCAAAUCAUUCCCUCUCCUCUCCUCUUCUCUUCUUUUCUCUUUUUUUUUUCUCUUUCUCUGUUCUAGUUGGGCUGUAAUUUAUGAUGUUGCAGCAGCACAAAUGAGAUGAAGCUUUUAUAACAGACGCCUGCUGACACACUUUAGCUCCCCUCUCUCUGUUAGGGAAAGUUAUUGGGCUU
ensembl:lncRNA